AACGAACGCUGGCGGCAGGCUUAACACAUGCAAGUCGAACGAGAUCUUCGGAUCUAGUGGCAGACGGGUGAGGAACACGUGGGAACAUCCCUUUCAGUUCGGAAUAACGUUGGGAAACUAACGCUAAUACCGGAUACGUCCUUCGGGAGAAAGAUUUAUAGCUGAAAGAUUGGCCCGCGCCUGAUUAGCUAGUUGGUGAGGUAACGGCUCACCAAGGCUACGAUCAGUAGCUGAUCUGAGAGGAUGAUCAGCCACAUUGGGACUGAGACACGGCCCAAACUCCUACGGGAGGCAGCAGUGGGGAAUAUUGGACAAUGGGCGCAAGCCUGAUCCAGCCAUGCCGCGUGAGUGAUGACGGCCUUCGGGUUGUAAAGCUCUUUUGUCCGGGAAGAUAAUGACUGUACCGGAAGAAUAAGCCCCGGCAAACUUCGUGCCAGCAGCCGCCGUAAUAC
rnacentral:rRNA from 1 species